rnacentral:rRNA from 1 species
ACGUACAAACCUUAUCGAUAAAACAAUUGGAGGGCAAGUCUGCCCGUUAGCAGCCGCGGUAAUUCCAGCUCCAAUAGCGUAUAACAACGUUGUUGCAGUUAAAAAGCUCGUAGUUUAAAUGAAGGGAAUCUGUGUAAUGAAUACAUUCGUGUAUUAUGUUAUUCUACUACCCUCCUUCUAAAUUCGAUAGAUGAGUAUUAACUUACUUGUACAUGGUAAUAGACUUAUACUGUAUACAAA